UGACAUUGGACUACUCUUGUUGGGGAUCUAGACAUAAGGAAUGUGUGUGAUAUGUAUAAUGUGUGAUGAUGAGAUUGCACCAUGUAGUAGUGGUACAUGGAUGGUCCUGCUUGGUAUAUCCGCGAUGGGGGACCAUACACAUGCUAGGAGUGAUCAUGCUUGGUAUAUCCGCGAUGGGUGAUCACUACCUAGAGCUAUAUGAUACAGUCCUACUUGGUAUAUUCGCGAUGAGGGACUGUUAUGGGUGAUCAUGCUUGGUAUAUCCGCGAUGGGUGAUUACUGCCUACGGUAUUAGACUAUGCAUAUGGUUCUGCUUGGUAUAUCCGCGAUGGGGAACCAUACACAUGCUAGGAGUGAUCACGCUUGGUAUAUCCGCGAUGGGUGGUCA
rnacentral:lncRNA from 1 species